GUUUGCCCCCAACCAUUGCUGAUAAAAGUCUGAGGACUCCCACCUGAUGCUGCAGCUCCCAGCUUGAGAGCACACAGCCCCUGUGUUGAGUGCCCUGAGCUCUCUGCCCUCCAGCCCCAGGGAAGAUGGGCCCAUGGAUCAGCUUUGUUCUCAUGGCAGCAGCUGUACAAGGUGUCUGGUCCCAGGUGCAGCUGGUGGAGUAUGGAGGGGCCAGGAAGAAGCCUGCAGACUCUCUCUAUCUUUCUUGCAAAGCCUCCAGGUUGAACUCUGGCAGCUACGCCAUGCCCCAGGUCACAGCAUUCCCAUAUUCAGUGAGGGAGAGCCCAGACCCAGUGCAGGUGCUGGCACAAGACAGUCCUGGGUUGCAGUGGCAGGUGGGUGCUCAUUGCUACGCAUUGCACUUUUUUGCAGAGAUGUGGGUGCCUAACUCCCCUAGUUCAUUUGGAAGGUCUGUUCCAACUACAGCCACAAAGGAGUCCUUUAUUUACAAGACAGGGUGAGUGGGAGUGUCAGAGGUGCACAGCAUGGGUGACCACGUGUGACAUUGUGAAGGCAGCCCAGCAGGUUUGGAUUCUCCCUGAAC